CAUUCAUAGCUGUUUCAAGCUGACGGAGAGGGAAGGUAGGAUGAGGGUGGGGGGGCACUAAUUUGGAGAAAUCAACAUUUGGGUCUUUGUGGGAAGGAAAGUCAAAACACAAGGAGAUAAAGACUGAUCUUGGCAAGUAUGGAUGCUGACGAGAGAGGAUUUUGCAGGCUGCUGUUUUAGGAAACAGGCUAGCAUUCAGGAAAAAGGUGGUGUUUUAAUAGUAACAAGACUGGGUCCGAGCUGAAGCUGCCAUCUCCUCAUCCCAUGAGCCCUUUGAGAGUUGUAUGCAGCAGGGAAAUGCUCAGCAAGCGCAGUUUCUUUGGUUACAAUGCAGAUAUCGUGACUGUCUGAGUUUUCUCUAAAUUGUGCCUUUUCAGGCUUCAGCUGCCAUCUUUAAGACCAGGAAGUAGCCCACCUUGUCAGGUCAGUAACCCAUUUAGAUGGCUGUCCCAGCAGCAGACACUGCUAGUGCUUUCUGAAGAAGCAACAUGGUAAGUGGAUGCCCCAGUGUGCUAGACAUUAACACGCUAGGAAUAAAAUGUUAUGCCUCCCUGCUCUGGAUUGAAGCCCCUUUUCAAUGGUACAGAGAGGAGGAGACUGGAAGCAAGGAAAUAGUGUCCCCUUUGGAAUCUGCACCCUCAUGUUAUUUUGUCUUUUAGAGAUCCUGAGGAUGCCUUAUAAAAUGCCAGCGAGAGUUGACAAAGAUGAUUUUCUUCAGGUUUCAGGUGUUUUUCUCUGAAGUUUCUAGAGGCAAGGGGAA